UCGGACGUGGUGCACGGCGCACACCCGCUUUCUAUUGGUGUAAAAAAGACGGUAUGUGGGAAGCCCGGGUUCGACUCCCGGCGUCCGAA